UCAACUACCUGGUACCCUGCACAUUGACUCAGUACUGGUACUCCUUAUAGUCUCAUUAUUACCUCAACUACCUGGUACCCUGCACAUUGACUCAGUACUGGUACUCCUUAUAGUCUCAUUAUUGUUUUUUUAGCACAUUUUUCAUACUUUUAACUGCAUUAUUGGGAAAGAGCUCAUCAGUCAGCAUUUCACAGUACACCUGCUGUAUUCGGCUCGUGGGGGAAGGGGGGGGGGUUCGGGACAAGGUAACAUGUCUGGUAUACAUAUCCUCAGGUGUUAGAUUACUCAGCUGUUCUAGUGGUCUGAGGCAGGUGGUAGAUUACUCAGCUGUUCUAGUGGUCUGAGGCAGGUGGUAGAUUACUCAGCUGUUCUAGUGGUCUGAGGCAGGUGUUAGAUUACUCAGCUGUUCUUGUGAUCUGAGGCAGGUGGUAGAUUACUCAGCUGUUCUAGUGGUCUGAGGCAGGUGGUAGAUUACUCAGCUGUUCUAGUGGUCUGAGGCAGGUGGUAGAUUACUCAGCUGUUCUAGUAGUCUGAGGCAGGUGUUAGAUUACUCAGCUGUUCUAGUGGUCUGAGGCAGGUGUUAGAUUACUCAGCUGUUCUAGUGGUCUGAGGCAGGUGUUAGAUUACUCAGCUGUUCUAGUGGUCUGAGGCAGGUGGUAGAUUACUCAGCUGUUCUAGUGGUCUGAGGCAGGUGUUAGAUUACUCAGCUGUUCUAGUGGUCUGAGGCAGGUGGUAGAUUACUCAGCUGUUCUAGUGGUCUGAGGCAGGUGUUAGAUUACUCAGCUGUUCUAGUGGUCUGAGGCAGGUGUUAGAUUACUCAGCUGUUCUAGUGGUCUGAGACAGGUGUUAGAUUACUCAGCUGUUCUAGUGGUCUGAGGCAGGUGUUAGAUUACUCAGCUGUUCUAGUGGUCUGAGGCAGGAGGUGUUAGAUUACAAGCAUUUUCAAUUGUAACCUUAAUAAUAUGACUUACUAAUGUCAUAUUACAGUUUUGAAUAAGUUUUUAAAUAUUGAAAUAUUGAUGUCACAAGUGUAUCAUUUGUAAAGUUCAGAUAUAUAUUAUUAACGUGUAAAACCUAGCAGUACACUUGGGGGCGCUGUGGGGACCCUUGGGGCGCUGUGGGGUCACUGUGGGGACAAUGUGGGGGCACUUGGGGACAAUGAACCUAAAGCCAACACAUGAACAAACUUAUUCCCAGAUAUAAAUCAAAUUGGUCACAUACACAUGGUUAGCAGAAGUUAUUGGUUACAUACACAUGGUUAGCAGAAGUUAUUGGUUACAUACACAUGGUUAGCAGAUGUCAUUGGUUACAUACACAUGGUUAGCAGAUGUUAUUGAUCACAUACACAUGGUUAGCAGAUGUUAUUGGUCAGAUACACAGGGUUAGCAGAUGUUAUUGGUCACAUACACAGGGUUAGCAGAUGUUAUUGGUCACAUACACAGGGUUAGCAGAUGUUAUUGGUCACAUACACAUGGUUAGCAGAUGUUAUUUGUCAGAUACACAGGGUUAGCAGAUGUUAUUGGUCACAUACACAUGGUUAGCAGAUGUUAUUGGUCACAUACACAUGGUUAGCAGAUGUUAUUGGUCACAUACACAUGGUUAGCAGAUGUUAUUGGUCACAUACACAGGGUUAGCAGAUGUUAUUGGUCACAUACACAGGGUUAGCAGAUGUUAUUGGUCACAUACACAGGGUUAGCAGAUGUUAUUGGUCACAUACACAUGGUUAGCAGAUGUUAUUGGUCACAUACACAUGGUUAGCAGAUGUUAUUGGUCACAUACACAUGGUUAGCAGAUGUUAUUGGUCACAUACACAGGGUUAGCAGAUGUUAUUGGUCACAUACACAGGGUUAGCAGAUGUUAUUGGUCACAUACACAGGGUUAGCAGAUGUCAUUGGUCACAUACACAGGGUUAGCAGAUGUUAUUGGUCACAUACACAUGGUUAGCAGAUGUUAUUGGUCACAUACACAGGGUUAGCAGAUGUCAUUGGUCACAUACACAUGGUUAGCAGAUGUUAUUGGUCACAUGGUUAGCAGAUGUUAUUGAUCACAUACACAUGGUUAGCAGAUGUUAUUGGUUACAUACACAUGGUUAGCAGAUGUCAUUGGUUACAUACACAUGGUUAGCAGAUGUCAUUGGUUACAUACACAUGGUUAGCAGAUGUCAUUGGUCACAUACACAGGGUUAGCAGAUGUUAUUGGUCACAUACACAGGGUUAGCAGAUGUCAUUGGUCACAUACACAGGGUUAGCAGAUGUUAUUGGUCACAUACACAGGGUUAGCAGAUGUUAUUGGUCACAUACACAGGGUUAGCAGAUGUCAUUGGUCACAUACACAUGGUUAGCAGAUG